rnacentral:lncRNA from 1 species
UAAUAGUCCAAUAAAAAUAUAAUUACGAGGAAGGUCCAACGUAACCUAGCAACAUUUUAAAAUAAUCAAGAUACAUGCAUACGCAACCUUUAUUUAAAGAGUGCCAAAUAACAGAUUGCAAGAGUACAUGGUCAUAGAGUUUAAAUUAGGUAGGAAAAUGUUGCUAAGAUUGAAGAUUCAAGUUCCUGAAGAACUUGACUAGCAACUGCUUCGCUGCUUUAGGUAGAACAGGGUUGGUUAUGCUUUACACCCAUCGAUGCCAUGCAAAUGCAUGGGAUAUGAUUCAAGAAGGAGCACAAUCAUGACGGCUGCAUAGAAUAAAGUGGAGAUUGAUGAGCUCCUAUGCACCGUGAGACAGUAAAAGGCUUCAACGGUGUGUCGGCUAAUGUAGUUGAUCAUUACCACAAAAACCCAUAACAGUUGCAUACAAUGAUGAAGGGUUAAGCAAGUGGGUUAGCUACUGUUAUAUUAUGUUAACUGGUAAGAGAAGAUAUAACGAUGAUAAAUAGCCAAGCAUUAUUGGGAUAACCGACCAGUCUACCAUAUUAAUAUCAGAAAACUUAGCGUGUAUAAGAGAAAUUUAACAUGUACACAUAUACCCAAACUAGCUUGAUGGUUUAAAAUUUGAGAUACAACCUAACAAUCGAUAACAACCAGCCAAUGUAAAUGAAAAUAAUACCUGGAAGCUGACUAAUCUAAACUAAAUAACUGAUGAACUAAUAAACUGAAAUAUUAACGGUUUCAUUUUAUCUAUACUUUUGCAUCACUGUCCUAAAGGAUAAAGUUAUUUCCGCAAAUGCCAUCACCAGCAGUUGUAAGCACAUGGAAGCAAUCAACAAUACUUCAUGAAUCUAUCGUGAAGAUAAGUAGAUUUUAAAACAUAAGAGAAGAGUUGGUACAUUGUGUAGUUAACGUUCACUUGUCUGAACUUGAAGUAGUAAACCAAAGAGUUUCUUUUCAUGAGUGAGUAUUCUUUGGAAAACUAAACUGGUGUUGACUCUCAUGAAUGUAUGUUGUUACUCCAGAGAAUGUAUGUCACUUGUUCACCGAAGGGUUUUUCACCGGCGGCAAACAUUCUAGACGGAAAAUUGGGUUCCGAGGAAAAUUUAGAUUGAGAUUCGAAUGAGAAAGAGAAAUGUAAUAAAAAUAUAAUUAAAGAUGAAGAGGUGUAAUAGAGGUGUCAGACAGUUGCCUUUUUCAUGGAACCCAUCAGACGGCCGCAUGUUCUCGAGCUACACAAUGGACACCAAUGCUCAUCAUAUUACAUUUUAUUCCUCCCUUUGAAGUCCAAUUUCUGACAGAAAUCAGAAGUCUAUUACGUAGGGGCCGUGAGGCUAGUAGGGGUAAGUUGGGGAAGGAAAAGUAAAGGAUUUGGGUGUAGGCAUGCCGCUAAUAUGAAGUGGACUUAGGGUCAUGUAAGCCAAUAAUCUCAAUUUUAUUUCCAUGAAACUGAAAUAUAGGAGCAAAUAGCUACAAUAUAAACCACUCAGACAAAGACCCGGCCCACUGUUAUUAACACGGAGUUCGCUCACGUUAGACAGAUAAGUGGUCGCAGGGUCGCAGGAAGGGAGGU